GAAGUGUGCUCUUCCGAUGCUUUCUCCCUGAUUUGAAGGGUGAGAAGUUCAUUAGCUCAUCAAUAAUGAAGAUCUUUUCUCUAAAAAGCACUUAGUACAAACUCACAUGUCCAUAUGGGUUACAGUCCAGAACUAUUUGUUUCAUGAAAUGUCACUUUUAAUAUUGUCUUGUUCCCUCUCAUGAUCUUACAGCACAAAUUUAGAAAAUCACCAGUAACAUAGUUACCUGCAGUAAUUAUUUCUAUCCCUCUUAGAUCUUGUGUUUGUCUUAUUUCACUGGUUAUUGAUUUGUUGUGCAAGUUACACCCCCUUGAACAUAUUAAGCACUAUCAGUAGCUUUAUUCUGAUGUGCCUGGCAGCACAGUUAGUGAGAGGCCAUUGAUAACAAGAAAGAGGAUUUUCGCCCUGUCGUAAUUAUGGCUGAGACAGUGGAGCAGUGUGCAGAUUAAUCCCUUAAUUUUCACUAACAGUUUGGUAACUUAAGAGCCAAGUGCACCCAAUUUAACCUGCUAGCUACUAAUCUGUGCUGCCUCUUCAGCACUGGUGAGCGCACACUGCUGUUGGGUCUACACUCCAGAUUUCGUUGAGGUUACCAGCUGACUCCUGACCUCUAAAUGACAACUUGUCUCCAGUUUGCGUAAUGAUAUAUUUGAAAUUCACUUAUGAAUUCACUUCAGAAUAUGUGUUAUAUAGAAUAUAACAACUAUAUAUCUAUAGAUAUCUAUAGAUAGAGAUCUAGAUAUAUAGAUAUAUAUCUAUAGAGAGAUAGAUAGAUAUAGAGAUACAAUUGAUAAAGCCUACAUAAGAGCAAAUAAAUGGGAUAGAGGUGAUGCCUAUUACUUUACUUUUAAAUAUUUAUUAUUAAAAGCUUCAGUUGUUGUGAAUAACCACAGCAAAUUGUGCCCUAUAAUCAGGAACAAACUAAAGGCUUUUUUUUGUUUUUGUGGACAGAAUGAUCAAAGCUUUUACUCAGUUACUCAUUUUGGAUUGACUAUGUUGAUUAUAUUUAGCAGGCAAGAAUUUCAAAGCAGAAGAGCAAAUGAGCUUUCUGACCAAGUUUGUACUGCUAACACUUUGAAAUACAUCUGCAUUAUAGAGUUCUACAAAUACCCUGAAGCAUGGGUUUCAUGCCUAUCCUGAUCAUUCUGGAGGGUUUUUUUCUUUUUUUUUUUUUUUUUUUUUUUUGGCAGUAUUUAGUCUUUCAGUUGUAGCAUCUAUUCACAUAUGUCCUGCCAAGAUUUCAGACCUCUUGUUUUUCACUUGUUGGCCAACAUAACCGUGUCCAUUUUGUCCCAUGCGAGGUUAUUUUGGCUGCUUCUGAUUUGGCCUGCACCUGUUGGCUUUGGCUGUGUAUUUCCCCCCGAAAAGUGGAUGGUUAGUGUUCAUCCAGUCAACGCAGUUUGGUUUGUGUUGAGAUUGUCUGUUCCUGUGCUGUGAUUCUGAUUUGAUUGACUGUAUCAUUUUGGUCACUGUCAAAGUCUCCACAUGCAAUGGCUGUAAUGCUAGGUUUGUUUCUCAAGUCGGCCUCAUAUCUUUAUCGGAAGUAGUGCUCAUUAGUGGCAGUUUCUCACACACACACACACACACACGCAAUCUGUUAUAUAAUCAAUGUACACAAUAGAUGCCCACUGUUUUGGCUUGUCUUAAUGCGUUUGAAAACUUCUAGUUUGACAAAUGCAUAAGAAACUGUUUAUUUGCUGUACUGAAUCAAAUAGUAAAUGAUGUAUGCAGUAGGCAGUCUGAGUUGGUAGUAUUGCUUUAUAAUGCCUUUAUCCAUAGUGCCUAGGUAUAUAGUCUAUUGCUGCAUUUGUAUAGUUAUAUAUUUUUUUUCAUAGUCUGUACUAUAUUUCUAAUAUGGAGUUUCCAGAAUAGUUUUUGUAUGUCUUAGUUAUUGUUUAUACUAUAGCUUUUAUAUGUGUAUGUUUUUGUUUGGCAUUUGUUGUGGAGGGCAAAGAGAAUUUCUUUGCACGGGGAAACAUGUUUCUUUAUUGUGCAUAUGACAAUACAACUUUGAAGCUUCAAACGUCUGAUCAAUGGCAGCUUUUAACCUACACUGUGUAUAGUAUAGCUAUCAUCCUGUUUUCUGCUGCAAGUAGGUGCCGGUUAAGCAUUACACAACAGCUCUUCUAUCGGAAACUUACCUUUUGGACUCAUCAGAAAUUAAAGUUCUCAGUUGAGGCUAAGAAAACAGAAAGGGGGCAUGGCUUACAAUCAAUUCUGUUUUUUGGGUUUCUUAUUUUUAUUUCGGCACAAGGAAAGCUUAUAUGCAGCAAAAGAUGAGACUUGUGUUUGUAAGCAGAUGUUAUACCUUUACAGCUCAUUGAGCUGCCUUGGGCUCAGCAGAUUUGCACUACCUCCUGUUUAAGUUGUUCUAGAUUAACUGUGGUGUUUGCUUUCUUGCUCAAAGACUAAAAUUCAGUGAAGCUAUUUGGAAAGAGAGAAGUUACCUGUACCUGUAUUAAUAAUGUAUUGGCAGGGCUUGCCCAGGACCAUGAAUAGAAAGCAGUGAAUAUUAAAAUACAUGGAUGGCUAAAAGCAGAGAGACUGAAUAGUGUGUUUCUUUAGUGCCUUUUUGUGAUAGGGAUCUUGGUCUGUCUGCUGGCAGUGAAGGGUGCUUAUUAACUUCCUUUUGCAUCUUUCACCUUUUCACUGUUGUUUUUUUCUAAACAUUCAUUGUGCAAGUUUUCUCUGCCACCGCUCGUUUUUUUCUUCUUUUUUUCCCCUCUUUUCCUUCUAUGCUUGGCCUAUUUUGUCUUACUCUGUAAGCAUCAUAAGAUUGUCCAGCCAGUUCCAGACAGAGCUUAAUUUCACUUAUAUUCUAUAGCAUGUAGUACAAAAUAUUUAGGAGUAGGAAAAUUAAGAAUUAAAAAAACAUCUUAAAGGUUAUAACCAUAGCCAUAGCCAAGCAUGGACAUACUUUUAGUAUCCCUCUUGUUUCUUUUGAAAGCUAGUGUAUGCAGUUCGUGUUGCAAACCCCCAUAGACUUGCUUGCUACAAGAAAAAGAGCUUGUCUGUUCAAUAUUUUACAGUGAGAAACUCUUAACAAGUGUCUCAGCCUGUGAGGGACUGUGAAAAUGGACAAACCAAGAUGUAGGCCAAAAGAGAGUAGUACCUAUUCAGCCUUAGAAACUUUAAAAAAUAAUUAAUGAAAAUCUACUAAAAUUAGAGAAAGUUAUUAUUUAAGAUGUCAAGCAUUUAUACAUUAUGUAUAUUGUGUUUUUUAUAAUAGCUUUUUGACAUAUAUAAACAUAUUUGUGGCGAUUAUUUCUUUAAAUAUGGCUAAAUAUAAAUAAGGAAAGAAUUUUUGAAAUGAUACCGAAUAUUGUUGGAAUGCUGUUUCAAAAUUAUUGUGGCAAAUAUAUCUGAAUCACUUUGUUUUUUGUUUUGUUUUGUUUUUUGCGUUUGUUGGCAAAAAAAAAAAGUAAAAGAAAACAAUAUCUGUUUCUU